GACGAACGCUGGCGGCGUGCUUAACACAUGCAAGUCGAGCGAUGAAGUUUCUUCGGAAAUGGAUUAGCGGCGAACGGGUGAGGAACACGUGAAGAAUCUGCCCUCCACUUUGGGAUAACACCGGGAAACCGGUGCUAAUACUGAAUAUUGAAACAUAAGUGGCAUCACUGAGUUUUGAAAGAAUUUCGGUGGAGGAUGACUUCGCGGCCCAUCAGCUAGUUGGUGAGGUAAUGGCUCACCAAGGCAACGACGGGUAGCCGGCCUGAGAGGGCGACCGGCCACACUGGGACUGAGACACGGCCCAGACUCCUACGGGAGGCAGCAGUGGGGAAUAUUGGGCAAUGGAGGAAACUCUGACCCAGCGACGCCGCGUGCGGGAUGAAGGCCUUCGGGUUGUAAACCGCUUUCAGUAGGGAAGAAGCGAAAGUGACGGUACCUACAAAAGAAGCACCGGCUAACUAUGUGCCAGCAGCCGCGGUAAUACAUAGGGUGCAAGCGUUGUCCGGAAUUAUUGGGCGUAAAGAGCUCGUAGGUCGUUUGUUACGUCGGAUGUGAAAACCUGAGGCUCAACCUCAGGCCUGCAUUCGAUACGGGCAAACUAGAGUUUGGUAGGGGAGACUGGAAUUCCUGGUGUAGCGGUGGAAUGCGCAGAUAUCAGGAGGAACACCAAUGGCGAAGGCAGGUCUCUGGGCCAAUACUGACACUGAGGAGCGAAAGUCUGGGGAGCGAACAGGAUUAGAUACCCUGGUAGUCCAGACCGUAAACGGUGGGCACUAGUUGUGGGAACCUUCCACGGUUUCUGCGACGCAGCUAACGCAUUAAGUGCCCCGCCUGGGGAGUACGAUCGCAAGAUUAAAACUCAAAGGAAUUGACGGGGCCCCGCACAAGCAGCGGAGCAUGCGGCUUAAUUCGACGCAACGCGAAGAACCUUACCAAGGCUUGACAUAUAGGGAAAAGUGGCAGAGAUGUCA
rnacentral:rRNA from 1 species